rnacentral:misc_RNA from 1 species
AAAUAAUAAUAAUCCGACGCAAACGCUUUGUCUCCUUCUCGCAACUCACGUCACUUUCCCACAACUCUCGCGCCAUCCUUCAUGUCGAAAAUGUGGGAAGAUGACUUUUGUCUCUAACCGCGCUUUUCAAAAUCUGCCAAAAACAUGGUCAAAAUGAGAUUUUAUAUCCAGGCCUAGUUAAGUUGCAUUAUUAGCCAACCGUUGAUCAAUGAAAUAUCUGCACAAGUUUACAAUUGCAAGUAAUCAGCUAUGGAGGCCGACAAUGCGAGUCCCCCAAAAUCCAUCAGCAAGAGCAAGAAGAGCAACGGUCAGUUAAUAGAUCAGAUCCUAGCUGAAGCCAAAGCGCAUCUAACUAAAAAACACAAGCCUUCUUCGGAUAAGUCGCCCUUAACAGCCAACAACAAACCCAAAAGAGCUUCAGUCAACAACGACAACAUAAUCUCUGAGCUGGUGAAUCGAGAACUGGACGGGUUGAGCAAGAAGAGGAAAAGACACUCGAAGGAGCUGAAUGACAGCGUUGCAGUGCUAAAAAAGAUCAAAACUGAGCCAGUUUCCGAAGAUGAACAUAAUCAAAACACUCAAAACGAAACUGCUGACGGGAAAGCUGUUUCUAGCCCGAAAUCGGACAAAAAGGGCAGUUACAGAUCACUUUCUAGAGAACGGGACGAACUGGAAAGGCUAUUUUCAAGUGCAGCAACAUCUCUGGUCAAUUCCACCAUAAAUCCCUUCGAAAGCUCGCCACACCUCAAAUUAACUGAUUUGUCCAUAUCAAGGAUAUUCAAACAGGAAAAACAGUCCAGCUCUGAAGGUGAGAUGCCAACGCCCGAGCCCCAAAGAAAGCAGGUGCCAAUUUUGAGGCCGGUGAAAGAACAAAUCCAGUCAGCAGAUGAAACACCCACCCACACACUGAGCUCAUUCAACAGCCAAAGAACUGUGAAAGACAGUACAAUAUCUACGUCUACAACGGUUCCAUUUGGCCGCUCGGAUUCUUCUAGUUCAGACAAUGAGUCCACAGUCCCAGUAGCUGCACACUCCAGUCCCGUGAAGAAACUGGUUUUAGAGGAUAAGCCGACUAAGCGCAAUAGCGCAGGGAAAUCGAAAUCCGAAAAAUUGCAGAAACGGCCCAACAGCAAACUGCUAACAAUCACUAAAAAGUCCAAUAUGAAUGUAUCGUCCCAUUCACAAGGGAACCCCAAUAGAGCACCGAUUAACCAGCCCGAUAGCAGCUCUGAAGAAGAUGCUUUGCCUCCGCCACCGGUUAAACCCAAAAGGCGCCGCAGUUCUGUCCCCGCGCCGAUUAAAACAAGGGCGUCCGAAGACUCCGCAGAAGAGUUAACUCUUCCGACUCCCAUUCGGAUCAAACAGGAAAAAGCGACACACAAACAACCAGUUCCAGUCCCCAAGCCAAUUAAAACUCGAGCGUCUCCAGCGCCAGACAGCAGCUCUGAAGAUGCAGCUUUACCUAAACCGUUGAAACUGAAACAGGAAAAACCCUUAUCCGUUCCUGUGCAAAUAAAAUCACAGCCGACGUCCGACUCAGAAGGCGACUCUGAAACAUCCACCGUGCCUACGCCUAUGGUAGUCAAGCAGGAAAAAGAGAAGCAAUCUGUUUCCGUUCCCCGGCCUAUUAAGCAAAGAGUGUCUUCGGGCUCAGAAAGCGACUCUGGGGCUCCAGCUUUACCCAAGCCUGUGCCAGUGAAAGAAAGUGCAAAAAAGCCGAAACAGCGCGCUUCAGCGCCUGCAUCUUUAGGCAAAGUUCUAGUAUCGGGCUCGGAAGAUGACUCCGCAGAAUUAGCGAAAAAGAUUGCAGGCGAGCAGCAUAAAGCGAAAAGGCGCAAGUCUCAUUCGUGUAUACUGAUGGAAUCAGCCAAACAAUCUUCGCAAAAAUCAGUAGUGAAGAAACAAAAAUCCCAAUCGGCAAAGAAACAAGUAGCGGCUGCCGCUCCAGUGGAGGCACCGCCUGCUACAGAUUCAGCCAGCGACUCUGAGGAAGAAGAACCAGAAGAACCACGGAAAAAGGAUUGGGAUUUGGGUGGGAAUAGCAAAACGCGCCGAUCUUUACCAGAAAAGAUUACCGAGAAAAAGUCCUUAACGCCGAAUAGACAAGAGGAAAGCAGCAGUAGCGGUAGUGAUGAUGAGCCGGUGCCCAAAGCAAAUGUUUCGCAACCGGAGGCCAAAGCAAACGGGAAAGACCGAAGAAGACAGGAAGAAACCGAAAGCAGUUCUAGCGAUGCUGCUGGUUCUUCGGAUGAGGCGUCGGAUUCAGGUGCCAGCAGAUCCGAGGAAAAAACGACGAAGUCUUCACCGGUAAAGGGAAAACCGCAGAUCAAUAAUAACACCGCGAGUGAAAGUAGUUCUGAUGAGGAAGCACAUUCAAGCAACUCAUCUCAACGACAAGGGGAAAGUGGUGAAAAUGGGCCGGUGCCCAAAGCAGUUGUUUUACAAACGAAGUUUCUUCAUGUAGCCAAGCCGAAGAGACAGCAGCAGGAAGAGGAAAGCAGUUCCAGUGACGCUGGUUCUUCGAACGAGGCUUCGGAUGCAGACUCAGAGCAAAAACCCGCGUCUCAAUCUCUUCCACUGAAGGGAAAACCACAGCUCAAUAACAAGGAUACCUCGACUGAUAGUAGUUCUGAUGAAGAAGCAGCUUCAAGCCGACCCUCUAAAGCGUCAUCUGAACCAAGGAAAACAUCGCUAACACCCAACAAGGCGAAGAGCGCCAGUAGUAAAGAUUCGCCGGCAUCGAAAUCGCUUCCAGUUAAUGCAGCCAAAGGAAAUAAACGCCGCCAACCAUCCGAAAGUAGCUUAGAGAGUGAUGAGGCUCCACCAAAAAAGCGUUCGAAGCGAGAAAGUUUACCAGAAUCCGCCCCAGAGCCGCCAGUUUCCGCACCAAAACAGCAAAAUUUAAUUGUGGAAACAAAUGGGCUUGCGUCUGAAAGUAGCGAUUCUGAGCAGGAAACGCCCCUGCAAAGUUCAAUUUCGCAAAAGGCAAGUUGGAUAGAGAAUCUGAACAAAAACUUUCCUGGACUGGAGCAGCAACACAUCAAAACCACCCUACCAGAAAACAGUGUGAAAUACUCCCUACUUUUAGUCCCCAAGCACAUCAAUCCUUCCAGCUUGAUCAACCUAAAGUGCUACUUAAACAAGGAGAGCCCAGUCAGUUUGAACAACAUGGCGUAUGUGUUUCAGCCGCUUCCCAAGAAGCCCGAUCCAGUGAUCCUUAGCUUGAAAACACCGAAACUCGUCGAUCUGGAAAGUGUAAUUUAUUUCAAACAGUUUCUGCCCAAACUGCCACUGAAUGAAAUUGAAGUACCCGUAAGAGAGGACGUUUCGUUGCCGAGUGUAACUAAGUCGCGCCAUCCGCUGUUUGGAGUCAGCUAUAAGAAGGAAAUCCGUCUGGAUCACAGCGUGAAGCAAAACCUGCAACAGGCAGUUGAGCGCAAGAAGAAAGUGAUGCGAAAAGCCAAGCGGAAAAGUAAACGAAAAUCUACGUGCGAUGGCGUGGAGGAGAAUGUUUUGAGUAUUUUCAACUCGAUCUCCACUGGCGGCGACAACCUAACAAAUGUGGGCCAGGCAUUUGCUGAUGAAGACGCUGAAGUUGCCAAAGGAUCUAAGAGCCAUACUAAUGUAGAGGCAAAGGAAAAACGUAAAAGUAAACGGGCAGUUAGUGAUGAAGGACUGGUGGAGAAGAAGAAAAAGAAAAAACGGAAGAUUGUGGAUGAAUGAGGUAGACAAUUACUAGCUAAACGAUUUCCAGGUCAAUUCAAUAAGUGGAACAAAAUUGCGACUUGGUUUUCCCACUAUUUCUUCAGUUGAUGGCGGGAAUUGCAACCCUCCAGCAGCCGACAAAUGUGUUUUAAUGGGAAUUAAUAGUUUUUGUAUGUAAAAGUUACUUUUUAAGUCAUUGAUUUUUCGAGAAUAUAUGUAUUUCUAUCAGUU